rnacentral:rRNA from 1 species
UACGUAGGGGGCCAGCGUUGUCCGGAUUUAUUGGGCGUAAAGCGCGCGCAGGCGGUUCGUUAUGUCCGAUGUGAAAGCCCCGAGCUCAACUUGGGAAUGGCAUUGGAAACUGGCGGGCUGGAGUGUGGCAGAGGGGGGUGGAAUUCCACGUGUAGCAGUGAAAUGCGUAGAGAUGUGGAGGAACACCGAUGGCGAAGGCAGCCCCCUGGGCCAACACUGACGCUCAGGCACGAAAGCGUGGGGAGCAAACAGG